UUUUGAAUUAUAUGUAGGAGUAUAAUUCAAAAUGGUAUGGUUUAAUAAAAUGUGCAAUUUUACCACCAAGAGGUUUGUAGCACCCUGUUUUACCUGUUAAAAAUAAAAGGAAAUCUGGCGAUGAAAAACUAACAUUUCCAUUAUGUCAAUUGUGUGCAAAAUUAAAUAAUCAAAAAGAUAAAUGUACUCAUACGGAAUCUCAAAGAAUUGUCAGAGGAACCUGGUGUACAAACGAAGUAAAAAAAGCAAUUGAAAAAGGAUACAAAAUAAUAACUAUUAAUGAAGUUUGGCAUUUUGAACAAAAAUCGAGUUAUUUGUUUAAAGGAUAUGUAAAAGCAUUUAUGAAAAUAAAGUUAGAGACAAGUGAAUGGAGAAAUGAUUUUGAAUCAGAAGAGGAAUAUAGAAAAGCCGUAAAAGAAAAUCUAGGUAUUGAAUUGGGUAAAAUAGAAAAUAAUCCUGGAAAGAGAGCUGUUGCAAAAAUCUGUUUAAAUUCCUUAUGGGGUAAAUUCGGUCAAAGACAAAAUAUGGGUGCAACAGAGUAUGUUACAGAUAUUAAGAGAUUUUAUGAGAUUUUAUUAGACGACAGACUUGAUAAUAUACAUAUCAAUGAAUUAAACGAAAAUAUGUUACAAAUUGAUUACAAGUAUAAAGGUUGCUAUCUAGAAAAUGAUUUCAAUACUAAUAUAUUUAUAGCUGCUUUUACAACUGCAAAUGCUAGACUAAGAUUGUACGAAAUGUUAAACAAAUUAGGAGAAAGCGUGGCAUAUUAUGAUACAGAUAGCAUUGUAUAUAUAGAUAAUGGUAAAAUAAAAACACUGUUAAAACAGGUUGUCUAUUGGGAGAUUGGACCGAUGAGUUAGGUAAGGAUGUAUGGAUAGCUGACUGGGUAUCAACAGGUCCAAAGAGUUAUUGUUAUAAGACUAAUACAGGUGGAGUUGUUUGUAAAAUAAAAGGAUUUACAUUAAACUAUGAAACGUCCAAAAAGAUUAACUCCGAUAGUAUAAAUAAUAUUUUAGAAUCCCAAAUGCACAUGAUCUGUCCAUUGUAUUACGUCAAUGGUUGGUGUGCGGAUCUGUUUGCCAACGUAAUUAUGUGUAAAAAGAAAACUCCCUAAACCAAAUCCCUAAAUGAUAUUCCCGUCAGCAGUUCAGCACCUCUCAUCGAACAUUAGUUGCAUUAGUUGAUUGCACAGAGUUUAUUGAAGAACACAAAAUAAGAAAAAAACAAUGGUUAAAAAAAUGCGGUUUGGCGUUGAUACUCGUUUAAUUGACGAACUAAGGUCGUGCCAAUUAAAUCGAAAGAAGAACGCUAAAAUGUUUCACCGACCUGCAAUUAUUUCGAUCAAUAACGUUGGAGAAACGGAACUCACAGUCUCUGACAGCCACAGAAGGCUGACAAUAGCUUCUACUACUAUCAACAACGUUCGCCCGCCAGUGCAAGAGAUUGCUGACAUUGAUAUCGACACAGUCGAAAUUGUUAUAGAUAUUGCAAUGUUUGUAAGGAUAAGAUUUUACAGUGUCGCUGACUUAAAUGCCUUCAAAGCAGCUCUUGGAAGUUUAAACUCACCCGAGGACUCAUCAUCAGAGUCAAGUGGAAGUCCUUCAUCCAGUGAGUCCGAAAUUUCAAUUUCACCAACACAGGAGACGAUGCUAGCGUCAAAAAGCGAAUCAUAAUAAAUACAUAUUUAUCAUAGACGUAUAUGGGUAUAAUAAAUUGAUUUUUAGUAA